rnacentral:lncRNA from 1 species
AUGGGGGCUACUAAAAGGAAGUAUGUAUACAAACAACUACUCCACAAAGCAGAAAUCUGUAAGUGCCUCUGCAGAGCUGAAGCUGGAUUUACAGGAGGCCUGAGAAGUUUCUGGAGCAUUUCAACCUCCUCUCCCAGGCUACUCUCGGGGUUUGCUGAGAACGGUUCAACUUGAAGGUCUUUCUCUUUAUCUGAAGAUUGAGGCAAUUCAGGAGCUGAUAGACUCCGGGUCUCUCUGCCCUCCGGUUCAAUACUCACCGUACGUUGUCUCCAGAGAGGCUUUCCUUAGGCCUAUACUUUCUUGUUCUGGGUAUUCUUUAGUGUAUCUUUUCUUGUGUUUAGCAUAUUUGCAAGAGCCACGUGACUUUAACCUUUAAAGAGUAGCCUUAGGCAGGAAGGCCCAGGAAGAGUUAUGGCUCUUUGUGACGCACUAUCCUAUCCUUACCCCAUCCUGCGGGUUAGUUUGUCUAACCCUCAGGCUGGCCCUGAAGGAUGGAACAUCUUUUCCACGUAAAACUGUUCUGGGGAUUCUGAUCCUCUAAGAGAGUAAUUUAUCCAAGGUCUCAAGAGCUCAAAAGUGGUAGACCUUGGAUUUGAACAUCGCUAUUUCUGACCUCAAAGCCCAUGCGUUCCCCACAACGUAUUAACCACGAUGAAGUGUAUUUUUAAAUUCAGCUUCCUAGUUUUGUAAAACUCUUAAAAAGCUCUCAGUUCAUCAAAGUUUCCUGUUCAGGCUCGUGGAUUUCAGCUGCUCAACGAGCAUUUAUUUGCUACUCAAAGUCUGGGAACAUCACGUGCUUUCUCCGGUAUCCGCGUUCAUUCAUUACUGUGAUUAUUUAUAGUUUUAUUGUCACAGUUAUUAUUCUUUAUUCUUCUUUGUGUUUGCCUAUUAGCAUGUUGAAAUUUCCUACGGUCCUUUUUAAACAACUGUUGUAAUUCUCUUUUCUAGUUUUUGAACUCCAAGAUGGCCAUCUCCCACUUUUUUUUAAUAGACAGGAGAAGGAGGUGCAGAAAAAAAAAAAGAGUGGUAUAGUUAACUGGGGAUUGUUUUAUUGUAUCUUUUCGUCAGACAUUCUGCUAUCUUUUAAAAUUUAAUGUUCUCACUUGGGGACCCUAGAUGCCAACGAAGCAGCAAGAUCAAGACAAAACCUGGUCAGUAGGUAAAACGAGGCGCG